GCCACGAUAACUCAAUGGGCAGAGUGCCACUCUUGUAAAGUGGACGUUGUGGGUUCGAAGCCUACUCGUGGCU
rnacentral:tRNA from 1 species